GAUGAAGAGCGCAGUGAAAUGCGAUAAGUAGUGUGAAUUGCAGAAUUCAGUGAAUCAUCGAAUCUUUGAACGCACAUUGCGCCCCUUGGUAUUCCAUGGGGCAUGCCUGUUCGAGCGUCAUUUGUACCUUCAAGCUUUGCUUGGUGUUGGGUGUUUGUCCAUUCUCUUGCAGAGGGACUCGCCUUAAAGUAAUUGGCAGCCAGUGUUUUGGUUUUGAAGCGCAGCACAAGUCGCGAUUCAACGCUAUACGCCAGCUUCCACAAGCCUUUUUCACUUUUGACCUCGGAUCAGGUAGGGAUACCCGCUGAACUUAAGCAUAUCAAUAAGCGGAGGA
rnacentral:misc_RNA from 1 species